AUGCGCAGAACCCCGAUUUCCCCCCCCCCCGGCCCGAGCAAUGCCAUCAGACCCUGGGAGCAUGGAGGGCGGAAAGUCGCCACCAGACUUCUCCGAAGCCUAGACUGGAUACCUUUAGGAGGGAAACUCCAGAGCCACUACCCUCCUUUCCCUCACAGAAUCCUCCGACAACCCCGCGAGGUAGUCCGUCAAAGAAUCGUGACCAGUAGGGCGCUCGCGUCUUUCAAGCUUUGCCCUCACAGAAGCUCUGGGAAGCGGGACUGUCCCGUCUCCCUUUCUCCGCUUGGCACACGGAAGCUGAGCCAGUGGAAACAAGCAAGGGAGCAGGGAGCAAGGACACAUCCCAAAGCUGGCACUAGAACAGCCCUACAAACAAAGAAAAUUUGUUUUGGAAACAGCCAAGCAUUCUUUGUCUCCUUUACCAAGUUCUUCACUGGAUUUCUGGGUGACGCAGCAGAGUGGGGCUUGCUGGUGAGUUUCCCCUCAAUCAAGACUGGUGGGCAAACCCGGUCUGCCUCACUUUCCAUCCAUUGGUUCUCACAGCAGUUUCCUUAAUGUGCUUGGAUGCACAGAAACCAAGGCAGCUGUGGAAGGGGCAUGGGUGGAAAGACAGGAUGGACAAGAAGGAUGCCCCCCCACUCUCUGCCCAGCACCGAAAGGCUCAGCCCCCCCCCGACAAGGGGCAGAGAUGCAGGGGCUCUGGACAAUGUCCGGAUAGCACAAGCCUGGGGAGGCCCUGACAGCCCCACCUUGUAUGCCUGAGCAUGCCAACGGAGGGCCAUCUGCUCUGCACAUCCAGAAGCACUCUUGUCCAGUCAUCCACUGCCAUGUUCAUGUUUCUCAUGACUCCACGCGUACCAGGCUCGGGCAUAUGGGACACAGCUUUACACCAAGUGACACAGCUUGGCCCUUCAUCCAAGGCUGCCUCCCCAAAGGGGGUCUCUUCCCACACCAGUUGUUGAGCAGAGAUGCCUCCGAGGCCAAAUCAAGCACCUUCUUCUGCACAUUGCCGUGGCUCCUUUCCUGGCAGGCCGCAGCUCUGGGUGCAGGGGGUAACGGCAAGCUUUUUUGGCCAACAAUGGACUUCUCUUCCACAGCAGACCCAAGAAAGUGAGUGAUGAGCAACUUGUGUGUUUUCCCACAGGCUGGAGGCAAACAGAGCAUUUCUUUACAUGCAUGUGCAUGCGUAUGUGAACAGGUGCAUGCACGCGUGCACAUGCACUUUAACCCUACAUCAAGAUACUUUUUCCACAUUUGCAUGUGAAGUGAUGACUCUCUUCUCCCUUCUCCAUCUUUAAAAUUUUAUAUCUUGUUCAUAUACUUAAAAAUGAAAACUUGGGCAAACUCAGUCCCUCCUCACUGCCCCACCACCGCCCAAAAACUUGAAUGUCUGGCUAAAGAUUUCACUAGGAAUGCUGGGAAAAUGUAAAUUGACAAAAAUAGUUGAAAGGAAGGAGUUUGCUUUACUUUUCUAAAAGGCACCUUCUGACCAAAGCCAGUUGUGCUUUGGCAAAGGGACCUGCAAGGCAAGGCUGCCAUGCAGGAGGGUAAGGAG
ensembl:lncRNA